GACGGAAGGUGCAAGCGUUGCUCGGAAUGACUGGGCGUAAAGGGCGCGUAGGCGGUUUGUACAGUCAGGUGUGAAAUUCCCGGGCUCAACCUGGGGGCUGCACUUGAUACGUAUGGACUGGAGUGGGGAAGAGGGUCGUGGAAUUCCCAGUGUAGAGGUGAAAUUCGUAGAUAUUGGGAAGAACACCGGUGGCGAAGGCGGCGACCUGGUCCUUGACUGACGCUGAGGCGCGAAAGCGUGGGAGCAA
rnacentral:rRNA from 1 species